rnacentral:rRNA from 1 species
UACGUAGGGUGCAAGCGUUGUCCGGAAUUAUUGGGCGUAAAGAGCUCGUAGGCGGUCUGUCGCGUCUGCUGUGAAAACUCAGGGCUUAACCCUGAGCUUGCAGUGGGUACGGGCAGACUAGAGUGCGGUAGGGGAGUGGGGAAUUCCUAGUGUAGCGGUGAAAUGCGCAGAUAUUAGGAGGAACACCGGUGGCGAAGGCGCCACUCUGGGCCGAAACUGACGCUGAGGAGCGAAAGCGUGGGUAGCAAACAGG